rnacentral:rRNA from 1 species
GGCGGAAGCCUGAUGCAGCAACGCCGCGUGAGGGAUGACGGCCUUCGGGUUGUAAACCUCUUUUAGCAGGGAAGAAGCGAGAGUGACGGUACCUGCAGAAAAAGCGCCGGCUAACUACGUGCCAGCAGCCGCGGUAAUACGUAGGGCGCAAGCGUUAUCCGGAAUUAUUGGGCGUAAAGAGCUCGUAGGCGGUCUGUCGCGUCUGCUGUGAAAACCCGAGGCUCAACCUCGGGCCUGCAGUGGGUACGGGCAGACUAGAGUGCGGUAGGGGAGAUUGGAAUUCCUGGUGUAGCGGUGGAAUGCGCAGAUAUCAGGAGGAACACCGAUGGCGAAGGCAGAUCUCUGGGCCGUAACUGACGCUGAGGAGCGAAAGGGUGGGGAGCAAACAGGCUUAGAUACCCUGGUAGUCCACCCCGUAAACGUUGGGAACUAGUUGUGGGGACCUUUCCACGGUCUCCGUGACGCAGCUAACGCAUUAAGUUCCCCGCCUGG